rnacentral:rRNA from 1 species
AUGGCGAGCCCAAUGGUGGCAACCCCAAUCCGCCUCAGCAGCCUCAGAUACGCCCCUCCUUCCCCAGCACCCAGAGGACGGUUCGUGGCGGCGAGGGUGAGGGCGUCGGCGGAGGCGAUGGCGACGGAGAAGCUCGGCGUCAGGGUGGAGCGCAACCCGGCCGAGUCCCGCCUCUCCGAGCUCGGCGUCCGCCAGUGGCCCAAGUGGGGGUGCGAUAAGAGCAAGUUCCCGUGGACCUACUCGGCCAAGGAGACGUGCUACCUGCUGCAGGGGAAGGUGAAGGUGUACCCGGACGGUGAGGAGGGGUUCGUGGAGAUCGCGGCGGGGGACCUGGUGGUCUUCCCCAAGGGGAUGAGCUGCACCUGGGACGUCACCGAGGCCGUCGACAAGCACUACAAGUUCGAGUAG